CUUCAUUCGUGUCGGACUCUGUGCGACCCCAUAAACGGCAGCCCACCAGGCUCCCCCAUCCCUGGGAUUCUCCAGGCAGGAACACUGGAGUGGGUUGCUACAGGAGGCAUUUGUGAAGGUCAAGAUAAAACAGCAGGAUUUUCCAGACCGGAGAGGAUACUGGAUGUGAUAUAUGCAAGCCGAGCUGAAGAUGUAAUAGAAGGAAAUGGGAAUGAGAAGGUUAUCCCAUUUAUUGUGGCUUACCCGGUGGCUCAGAUGGUAAAGAAUCUGCCUGCAAUGCAGGAGACCCAGGUUUGAUCCCUGGGUUGGGAAGAUCCCCUGGAGAAGGGAAUGGCAA